GGCUUUGUAGUUCAGCGGGCAGACCGCUUGUUGAGUUUGGGUAUGGUGUUUCAGUCGCUGGUUCGAAUCCAGCCGAAGCCC